GACGAACGCUGGCGGCGUGCCUAAUACAUGCAAGUCGAACGCAGUGGGGACGGGUGAGUAACACGUUGGUAACCUACCAUCAGAGGGCAUAACACUUGGAAACAGGUGCUAAACCGAUACUGAUGGAUGGACCCGCGGUGCAUUAGCUAGUUGGGGGGGGAACGGAUCACCAAGGCCACGAUGCAUAGCCGACCUGAGAGGGUGCUCGGCCACACUGGGACUGAGACACGGCCCAGAAUCCUACGGGAGGCAGCAGUAGGGAAUCGUCGGCAAUGGACGAAAGUCUGACCGAGCAACGCCGCGUGAGUGAAGAAGGUUUUCGGAUCGUAAAACUCUGUUGUUAGAGAAGCGGUAUCUAACCAGAAAGCAACGGCUAACUACGUGCCAGCCGCCGCGGUAAUUC
rnacentral:rRNA from 1 species